GAUUAAUGGCUCGAUGUUUUCUGCUAGAUGCAACCCUCCCGUUAUCCUCCUCCCGUCGUUUAUUGAUAUUUUUUUCUAGAAGCAACCCUUCCAUGUUAUCCCCUGCAACUUUUUCGUCGUUGUGGCCUGAAGGCCCUGAACGUCCGUUGCGCCUAUCUUCCAUUUGUUACCACCUCCACCACCACAUCAUCGGGAAGCAUGGAGAUGGCUCGGCCGCUACCGGCGGCUACACCAUCCACGUUCACUGGCGAUGGCACGAGGCCGCCGAAGAAGGUCGUGGUGUGCGGCGGCGGUGUGGUGGGCGUCUGCGCUGCAUACUUCCUUGCCCAGAAGGGCGGACCGACCACAUCGAUCACGGUCAUCGAGAAAUCAUCUGUUGCCUGCGCUGCCUCCGGCAAGGCCGGUGGAUUCCUGGCCCUCGACUGGUGCGACGGAUCACCUCUCUCGCAACUCGCGCGCACCAGCUUCCAGCUCCAUAGAGACCUCGCUCGGGAGCUCGAUGGCCACAUCAACUAUGGAUACCGUCCCGUGGACACCCUCUCUCUUUCCUUACAGGAACAAUCGAAGUUGAAGAGCGGAAGUAGCAGAGUUGGCCUCCCCCCUUGGGUCGACGGCCCCUUUUCUGGCGUACCCAAAACCAUAGGGACAACGGAGACCACAGCGCAGGUCCAUCCCCAACUGUUCACGCGAACCCUUCUGUCUAAGGCCGUUGAGGACCACGGGGUUCAGUUGGUGAUCGGAGCGGUGGAAAAUGUGGAAAUCCAAGACGGUCAGGUACUGUCGGUCCUCGUCAAGAAGGGAGCGGCGGAAGGUGGUUCUCCAACAAUCAUCGAUGCCGAUGCGGUGGUUCUCGCGUUGGGACCCUGGUCCGGUAAGUUUGGAGUCUUAUCUUCUCUGUUCAGGGUGCACGGAAUCAAGGCGCACAGCAUCGUCUUGAGGCCCGAGAAGCCCGAGGAGAUCACCCCUCAUGCCCUCUCCUUGAGCUACACCACCAACGGAAAAUGCCUCGACCUGGAGGUCUACCCACGGCCCACCGGCGAGGUUUACAUUUGCGGCAUGUUGGAGGAUGACGCUCCAGUGCCGGACGGGGCGGAGCAGGUGGAGCCGAAGGGGGAGUCGAUCGAGAUGCUCAAGAGGAUCGGCGAAACGGUGUCGAGCCGAUUGAGUGUCGGUUCGGCUACAGUGGAGGCGGAGCAGGCCUGCUUCUUGCCGUGCACGACGGACGGCCAGCCAGUGAUCGGACAGGUGCCGAACGUGAAGGGUUUGUACGUGGCGACGGGUCAUAGCUGCUGGGGUAUACUCAAUGGGCCGGCUACCGGAGCUGCGGUGGCGGAGCUCGUCUUGGACGGCCAAUCGGCUAUCGUUGACCUCAAACCUUUUAGUCCGUUGAGGUUUCUCCGUGGCCAUGGCCGGCCUUGAAGUCGGAUGUCUGGGUAAGGACACCAGCAAACAAGAAGAGGCCAUUCUCUCGAUGCCUUAGUUUGGUUGGUCGUCGGCACAUUGAAAUUGGGCAUUUCAGAUAUCCCCUUGAUUUAUUUCUUCACAGGAAGAAGAAACCCAGACAGCUGAGCAAUGCGACUUUGUGAUAGAACCAAUGGCCGCAUACUGCAACAACGCAUUGUUAUUUGUUUAUACAAUCUCAUAUGUUCAUUACAUAAACCAUUCAGGUGGCCUACUGCAUAUUGUCUGUUUUUAUAAGGACGGAUGCAUACAACUAACAACUCCAUAUGCAAAAAUGUCACAUUUUUAAGGUCAGAAACGAAGGAACAUUAGACCACUGGUGCAACUUGCAUAUAUUUACCGUAGUACAUUAACCAAAACAAGCACUUGUAUAUGAUUUCUAGAUGUGACAACAUUGAGUGUUCUAUUUCUCCCACAUGCAAAAAAUUAGGAGUGUACAUUUGCAUAUGGGUGAGGUUAUAUAUUGUACACUCAACACAUUUUCUCAUGUUGAAAAAACAUUGUAAAAUUUAUUUUCAAAUUUUGGUUUGUUGGUCAUGUUAUGGCACUUAUGUUUAAACUUGGUUGCUUUGAUAAAAUGUCCUCAUCAAGUGCUCAACCACCUGCCUCCUUUUAUUUUAACAAAUCCAGUUACGGUGGUGAUACAUGUUGAUAUGUUCACAUCCCUGCUCAUUUCCCUCCCCUUGAAGCAACCAACCGUCCUUUUAUUUUUUGGCACAUGCGUGUCAAAUAAAACUACUUUCACUCUCUUUUGUAAUGGUGUUUUUGAUUUCUGACAUUUUCCUAUAAACAAAAAUGCAUCGUAUGUAAAGUCUUUUUGGUAGAAAUUUAUUGACUUUAUAUAUUAAAAUAAUAUUUAUGUCGCUUGUUGCACGAUGUAGGAACACAUUUGAAGGAUAAAAAAUAAAGGAUAUUUUAUUGAAGCAUAAUUUAACUAAAGUAGAUGUUAAUUCGUUACGACUCCAUCUAGCAUAAGACAUAACAGGUUAUUAUAGCUGCUUGUGAGCAUGCUUACAUUCCCCUAUGUCAUAUUGUACUUGACCACUAUUUGUCAAAACAUUGUUGUUUUAUAGAAACAUAUAUAUGUUGUUUACCUCCUAUGAGUAAUUUUGUAUUCAGAUUGAAUAUAUUCAUCUGACAAUGUCCAACGAAAGAUGCAACAUGUUGUUACAUCCAUAUGUCUGUAGAUAUAUGGUCUUCUAGCCCUAUUGUACUUGAGUACCAUCUAUGAAAUAGUUGUAAUUUUAAACUAUAUCAUAUGUAUGUUGCGACCAUGAUUUGAGCAUUUGUGUUUAGUAUAAGUAAAAUCCACUAGUUUCUUACAUGAGAAUGAGUAUUUAUGUUGUUCCUUACAUGUUGGUGAUGCUUUUGAUAUUGGAAAUUGAACUUUGUUGAACCGUAGUUUAACUGGAGUAGGUGUUGAUUAAGAACAAUUACUUUUUUGAAUGUAUCUACAAAUUUUGUUUGUUGAUCUAAGUAAACAACAUUUGUGUCAAAUGUGACAAGCUUCUACAUCAAACAUCGCACAUUCUCUUAGUAAAUUUAGGAUGAUAGACUUGAAUCGUAGGUGCUAGGCAAGAACAUAUUGGUGAUGAGAAUGCAGCCCAUAACUAGCAUAGGCACAAUUAGGUUAUACUAAUUCAGAAGCAUCACCAGUACAAGUAAGCUUCACUUGCUUCGUGCUUCUUGCAUGAAAAAUAGUAUUUAUUUUGUUUCUUACAUGUUGGUAAUGUAUUUGAUACCGGAUAUUGAAAUAAAUUUUGUUGAAGCAUAGUGUAACUAGAGCAUGUGUUCAUGAUAACUUGACAACAGUGCAAUUUUUUUGGCAUUUAACUGCAUGUUUUGUUUUUUGGUGUAAGUGAGCAACAUUUAUGUCAAAUCUGGCAAACUUCAACAUUAAAUGUCACAAAUUCUUUUAAUACAAAUUUAGAACGAUAGACUCCAAUCACAGGUGA